GAGUUUGAUCCUGGCUCAGAUUGAACGCUGGCGGCAUGCCUUACACAUGCAAGUCGAACGGCAGCACGGGAGCUUGCUCCUGGUGGCGAGUGGCGAACGGGUGAGUAAUGCAUCGGAACGUAUCCUGGAGUGGGGGAUAACGUAGCGAAAGUUACGCUAAUACCGCAUAUUCUGUGAGCAGGAAAGCGGGGGACCUUCGGGCCUCGCGCUCUUGGAGCGGCCGAUGUCGGAUUAGCUAGUUGGUGAGGUAAAGGCGUCACCAAGGCGACGAUCCGUAGCAGGUCUGAGAGGAUGAUCUGCCACACUGGAACUGAGACACGGGUCCAGACUCCUACGGGAGGCAGCAGUGGGGAAUUUUGGACAAUGGGGGCAACCCUGAUCCAGCCAUGCCGCGUCGAGUGAAGAAGGCCUACGGUUCGUUAAGUACGUACUUUCGUCGUA
rnacentral:rRNA from 1 species